GCUUAACAGCUUUAUUUCCGCUCUGAAAUAGCAAGGCUUCCUUCCAGCACACAGAGUGGAUGUUCUAAUGGGCUGAGCAGAGCAGGGUGGUUUAAAACACAGGGAAAUGGAAGGCAAAUCACCCCCGACCCCACCCCAUCCCCCCAAAAAGAAGGACCAACCAUUUCAAAGUUAUUUUCCUUGUGAAGUGGGGGGACUGGAGUCAGCAGGACUGAAGGCCUCUUCUUAAAGGUUGUGGCAAGCUUUCCUGGUGCCAAGGCCUCUGCACGUUUGAACAGAGCUAUCAACACAAACCUAAAGCCCCUGCUGGUGAUGAGGCUGCGAUAGGAAGAGCCCCAUGUGACAGGUGCUCGGUAAAGGUGUUCAUUUAAGGAGCAGUGCAGUUGGGGAUGCACAGUUAUCUACCUAGUAAUGCAUGGAGUGUGGCGCAGCUAGGUCUUCAGAUGCCUUCCCAUCACAAGUACCACCUUCACCAUGGCUACCAUUUGCCAGAAUGGCUUUUAAAGGCAGAGUCAAGAGACCUACUCAGAGGAGGAUGAGAACGUUUCAGGAAUGGCAGUAAGGGAAGACAGAAGAGGGUGAUGAUGGAUCUCCUGGAUACACAGGUACACAGCUGUAAACCACCAUGCAGGUGCUGAGAACCUAACCUGGGUUUUCUGCAAGGACAAGUGCUCAUAACUGCUCGGCCAUCACUCCAGCUCCAGAACAAAAAUUUAAUGGUUUCCUUCUGGGACUGUUUACAUGAGAAAUGUCCUUCAAAGAGACUGAUAGUUGAAAACUUGGUCAUCAGUAGAUGGCACCCUUUGUGGAGGGGUUGAGAGUUCUAGGACAAACACCUUUCUUCUAAGACUUCAGAAGUUGAUUCAUGGCUAUGCAAAUGUUCCUGGUAGAUGGAGUGGUCUAGAACAUCUGGAAGCACACUGGUGUGGCUGCCUUACAGACAACAGAUGACACACUGGACUUAUCCCCAAAGUCUUUCCACAGGGGAACAGUCUCCUCCCUGAUGCCCUCUUUGGUCACGAUGCAGAUCCUGAGGGCGUCUCCAGUGUACACAUCCCUCUCGGCUGCAGAAAUGAAGACGUCUUUCACCAGCCUCAUGGCUCUGUCCAGAGUCAGGGGGACAUGCUCCACAUUCAGCUUGCUUUCUUAUAGAGCCCAGUACCACCAGUCCAGGGAUGACAUCACGCACAAUGGGCUGGGCCCUCUCCCGUCAAUCAUUAAUUGAGAAAAUGCCUUACAGCUGGAUCUAAUGGAAGCAUUUCCCCAAUUGAGGCUCCUUCCUCU
ensembl:lncRNA